rnacentral:lncRNA from 1 species
AUAGGCUACUUCAAAUAAAUUACUGUCUUACUCAGUUCAAAGAGGCAGAUCGGUAAUGUACUCAUGCAUUGUAAUCUCAGAAAAAGUCACAGGAGUAGCUUAUAAAUCAUAGCACCCCAGGAGAGUCAGGAAGAAAGGCUGGCUUGGAAAGUUCACUGCAUCAUAGAACGUGCUCCUUCAUUACUUUGCUGAGGCCUGUUCAGUCUUCAUUCUAUGCAACAAAGAUUUCUCAUAAUGAGCUAGUAAAUGCAUUGGCAUUUCAAGAAAAAGAUAAUUGUUAAUAGUGGAAGAGUUUCAUGCUAAGGUCAAAGGCACUUUGGUGGAAGCAGAGAACACAGAGAUUUCUACUUACUAAACAAAUCAGGGGCUCAUUCUGAAUCAUUUUGGGAGACAUAAAUUGCUCUAGAAAACUAGAGCUAGUUAGAGACCACCGACCUUGAAAUGAAACCACCCUUAGGGAAAAUGGAAAUUGAAAGGCUUAAAUAUAUUCCCUCGAAAUUCCUCAGAACUUUUCUUUAUGCCCAAGGUACUAUUGGUGGAAACAACCUUAAGAGACAAGAGCAUUGUUCUGAAAAUUACCCUUGUAUUUUUGGCACAUUGAGAAAAAGACAUACUUGUGUUCUUCCACUCCUGCCUGCCUUUUGAGCAAAGUGAACUUUGGAAAUAUCUUAUUUCCCAAUUAGCUAAAUCAUUUAAUUUUCCUAGUCUAAAAGUUAUUUAAAUUAUUGAUUCAAUGUUUCAGCAAUGUUAAAGCUUCAAAGCCAAAUUUAUUUAUUAAUCAUUUAAUACCACAUGUAUUUAUUGAGCUCCUACAGGGUACUGGAGAUACAGAAAUGAAAGACCUGUCAAGCUCCUUACUCUUAUGAAGCUUUCUUUGUAUUUGGGGAAGGGAGGGGAGGGGCUGCAAAAAUUAAUAAAUGAGAAAAUAGCAGGUGCUACAUUUACCAAGAAUCAAAAUAAGCCAGGCUGAGAGAGGACAGGAGGGUAUUCUAGAUUGACUGGUCAAGGAAGUCUUCUUGAGUUGAGCUGAGAAUUGAAUGAAAAGAAGGGAGCCAGCCAUGCAAACAUCAAGAAGACAAAGCAUUUGGCUGGAUAUAUGCCCAAGAGUGGGAUUGCUGGGUCAUAUGGUAGUUUGAGUUUUCUGAGGUACCUCCAUACUGUUUUCCACUGGGGUUGUACCAAUUUACAUUCCCACCAACAGUGUAGGAGGGUUCCCUUUUCUCCACACCCUCUCCAGCAUUUAUUUGCGGACUUAUUAAUGAUGGCUAUUCUGACUGGUGUGAGGUGGUACCUUAAUGGAUAAGCAAUGAGAUCCUGCUCUACAGCACUUGGAACUAUAUCUAGUCACUUAUGAUGGAGCAUGAUGGAGGAGAAUGUGAGAAAAAUGUGUAUAUAUGUAUGUGUGACUGGGUCACUUUGCUGUAUAAUAGAAAAUUGACAGAACACUGUAAAACCAGUGGGAAAAAAAUAAAAGUCAUUGUUAAAAAAAAAAAAAAGAAAAAAGAAAAAAAGCAUUUGGGGCAGAGCAAACAGCCCUAGCGCAAAAUGAGUCUGGUCUGCUCUUGGAACAGGAAGAAGGCCAGGUUAGGUAAGUGGGUUAGAAUGACAGUGUAGACAUGGACUGAAUCCCAGGCCAGAAAUUAGCAGCCAAGGCUGUACUCUUGAUUGAAUUGGGAAGCAUCAAGGCAGUAAAUCCUGAUCUGAUUUCUGUCCCCUUCCAAUACAAUUUGCACUUCACUGUUAAUUAACCUACAAUAUCAUGUUAAUUGAUUCAACUUCCAUCUUCAGAAAGCAUCUUAUACACCAUCUGCCUUCAGAAGAAAGUUCAAAUUAUUUAGCUUGACAUUUCCAGACCUCCAAAAACUUACACUAACCAAUCUGUACAGCUUUAUGCCUCUCUGCUCCUCUAAUAAAUAUUCUCCUCUAGCCGACUCUUUACUCCAACACUCCUUUGAUUUUAUCCUCAUUUUUUUUCCUCCGUGCCAUUCCCUGUUAUUAGCAUGACCUUUCCCUUCUCUCAACACAUUCCUAUCAAGUUCUCCUUAAAAGUCUUUUUGCAACUCUCAAAAGAAGAUUCAACACAAAGUGACUUAAAUAAAAGAAAUUUCCUUUUGUAAGUAAAUUAAAUGUCCAAAAUAAACUUUUGGCAGAUUUUAUCCAGAGGUUAAUGAUGCCAUUUACUCUGAGAUUAACUCGACUCUGUAUGGCUCCCUGUGUUGAUUUCAUUCUCAGGCUGGCUUCCUUCCAGAUGGCAAAACUAGCCACAAAAGGCCCUGUACUGGGUUGAGUAGUGUUUCUCCAAAACUCAUGUCUACCUGGAACUUGAGAAUGUGGUCUUAUUUGGAAAGAGGGUCCCUGCGGAUGUCAUCAAGUUAGGACAAGGUCAUACUGGGUUUAGCAUGGGCCCUUCCACUGAAGUUCCUAUAAGACGAAAGAAGUUUGGAUACAGCUUUUUCCCUAUGUGUCUCUCUGUGAAGACACUGGCAGAGACUUGAGCGAUGCAGCCAAGAAAUGCCAAGGAUUUGCCAGCAACCACCAGAAGCUAGGAGCAUGCAGAAGAAAGAUUCGUCCCUAGAGCCUUCAGGAGGAGCACCGCCCUGGCCAUACUUGGCAGACUUCUGCCCCCAGAGAUUACAUUUCUGUUGUUUGAAGCCACCAGGCUUGCAGGGAUUCAUUCCAGCAGCCCUAGGAAACCAACAAAACCCAUCUUCUGCUCACCUACCUUGCAGGGGAGUAGAGAAAGUUCUAUCUUGUAGUUCUGUGGGAAAGAUGAGCUUCUUUUCAGAAGCCUCAGCAACUUUUUCUCAGGUCUCCUAUGCCCAUGUCUGAAUCAGUCCUAGCAUCCAGCUACACCUGGAGCUGAUAGGUUGUCUCUCACACUUAAACCACAAGGAAAAAUGGCAGAGAAGGGAUUCCUGCUCUUCUCCCACUCAAAAACAAAUAAAACACCCCAAACCCAUAGCGUUUAAUUUAUUUCCUUUGUUAGGAAAAAAGGAAAAUAAAUCCUAGGAAAGGAAUCACCUCUACUAUUGAUGGCAGUUUGCUUGACUUUGGCUGGAAGUUACAAAAAAUUUGACCCUUAAAUAGCUUAAACAUGGAAGAAAGUUCCUGGCUCACACGAUAAAAUCCUGAUCUGAGGCAGAUCAAGCUUGGGACUGGGUACAAACAGGGCUCUAGCUCUAAAUCACUCCUCUUCUCCAGCAUCAGUCUUCCUCUAGGUGCCAGGUUGGCCUUUGUGAUCUCAAAAUGACUGCCAGAAGCAACUAGGGUGACCAACAUCCUUUUCCUGCACAGUAGGAGAGGAUAAAAAUCUUAUUCCCAAUUAUGAAACAAAGAUCCUUCCUUUUAGGCUGAUUGGACACAUUUAGGUCAUGUCCCUAGACCCGUAUGAAUUGUGGAGGCGGGGUGGGUGGGGGAAAUGCCAAUCACUGAUAGGAGUAAGUCUAGUUUCCUGAGCAAAUCACAGGGCGGGGGAAGAAAGCAGUAUGAUGAUCAGGAUGGCUUAGCAUUAGAUUAAUCUGGAUUCUUCCUUGGAGCUUAAGAUGGUGUUGGCUUUCCCUAAUGUAUGUGUUCUGCAAGGGAGAGGGUAUCUGAAAAAUAUGCAAAGGGUGAAUGGAUGCUAGUCCAUCAAGGCAACAAUAUUGUUCAUCAAGGCAAUGAUAUUGUCCAUCAAGGCAUCCUUUCAAGUACAGAUUGGAUCCCACCUCCUCCAUGAAGCCUCUCCAGAUUACUCCAGCCAGAAGCAAACCUCCUGAAUUCCUUCAGUACUUAUUGCUCACACUGACCUUUCACACUUGCCCUAUACUUUUAAUAUCUCUCUGUACAUCUUUCUAAUUUCAUCUAAAUCCUUAAAAGUAGAGUAUGUGUUACCUUCAUCUGUGUAUUGCAGUAUACUUUGUGUAUCAUCUUGCCCAGAAUAUUUUAUGCUCAGUAAAAAUCUGAUGCCUAAUUGAGUAACAUAAUAAAAGCAUAAAGAACCAGGGAGCUUUGAAACUUCGCAACAGAGAUACAGACCCAGCUCGUUAAUUCAAUUCUCACUUCUUCCUAAUAGAAAUCUCCCCUUGCUCAUUAUCUCCCAGGAGCCUUUCAUGCAGACAUACUGGUGAUUCUCAGCCUUCGAAUCCAUCUGUACUUAUAAAAAGGUUAGAUUUUGAACCUAAUUAAAUAGUGAGAAGCACUGAUAAUACAUGACUUGGCUAAUAUUUUGAAUAAGAAUCUGGACAAGAUGCGAGAACUAAAGUGGUAAUACAAGUUUUACUAUGGAAGCGGAAUAAGAUAAAGGAAGGAAGACCUUUUCAGUCGGGCAGAGAUGUUUUAGUCAUUUUUUUUCCAUUUUAAUAACAUAACACACAAUUGUCCUUACCUACUUAAACUAUAGAUUUUUCAGCCUAUGUUAGGUCUAAUCUAGCAAUUAUCCAUGAAAGUUUUAAGAGUUUCGUUGCUCAACACUGUUGUUAAAUUUCUGUUACCUUUGACAAUGAUUAUACCAUGUUCAGGGCAGAAUAUUUCUAAUCUCUGAAAAUCUCAGUGAUCUAGCAUGGAUUUUGAUUAUUAAUUCAUUAAGAAGAUUGUCACCACCUUGAAGAUGUCUUGAGGUCUGCAAUUUUCUCUAUAAAUGAAUUCUAGGGUAUCUGAUGGCUAUUUUGUUACCAUUAGUGGACAGUAUGAUGUCCUGGUCUAGAUACAUGACCCAAAGUGAUCAAAGUGGUCAGCAUUGUGUUUCAAGGAGAUUUCAUCUUUCAAAGACAAGAGUAAAUAAUUAAAUCCUUUAUUAAAAAAGAGUUGAGUGUAAAAAUGUCUAGAUGAAAUCACCCUAUUUUCCCUCUAAGAAGGAAAUAGGAGCGAGAAAAUUGGAGGCACACAUUCCCAGCAAACUCCCUCUAGGUUGACAGAGAUGACCAAGGCUGCCUUGAAUGGGAAAAUGGAUUACCGCUCACUUCCCACUUUUGAUAAGUUUGGUCUCAUUUUUUAAAAAAAGAAUUGGAACCAGGAAGAAGUUGAGCUCUACCAGUGAUUCAAAUCCAAGAACAGUUCAUGUCUCCUGGCCUUUUAAAGUCACUAGACAGAGUAAGGACGGCUACUGCCAGAGGGUUCAACACCCAAGUGUUAGUUCUGAGCACUUCCAGGCCCAUCUUUCCCUCUUGCUUUCUAAGUCUGUAUGCAUUUCACUCUUUUUUCGAUCAGCCUGAAGAAGCAUCAGGGGGUUAGGGGAAAAGGCAGGUGGAGAGAGGGCAUUUCAAAGACAACAGGAUAAAAAUGGUCUAAACCUGACCAAGUAUUUUCAAGGCAUAAGAUUUUUUAAAGAUGGGGGAGGGAUGGAGUGGGAGGUUGGGCUUAGCAGAGGUAAGCUAGAAUGCAUGGAGGGAAUAAUCAACAAGAUCCUACUGUAUAGUACGCGGAACUAUACUCAGUGUCCUAUGAUAAACUAUAAUGGAAAAGAAUAUGUUUUUAAAAAGUGUUUAUACAUGUGUAACGGAAUCACUUUGCUG